GCUCAGGAUGAACGCUAGCUACAGGCUUAACACAUGCAAGUCGAGGGGCAGCAUAAAUCUAGCAAUAGAUUUGAUGGCGACCGGCGCACGGGUGAGUAACACGUAUCCAACCUACCUAUUACUCGGGUAUAGCCUUUCGAAAGAAAGAUUAAUCCCCGAUACGAUAUUGAGUUCGCAUGAAUUUGAUAUGAAAGAUUUAUUGGUAUUAGAUGGGGAUGCGUUCCAUUAGAUAGUUGGUGAGGUAACGGCUCACCAAGUCUUCGAUGGAUAGGGGUUCUGAGAGGAAGGUCCCCCACACUGGAACUGAGACACGGUCCAGACUCCUACGGGAGGCAGCAGUGAG
rnacentral:rRNA from 1 species